rnacentral:rRNA from 1 species
AAAGAUGUGCUAAUACCGCAUAAUCUCUCAGGAGAAAAGCAGGGGAUCGCAAGACCUUGCGCUUUAGGAGCGGCCGAUGCCUGAUUAGCUUGUUGGUAAGGUAAAAGCUUACCAAGGCUUCGAUCAGUAGCUGGUCUGAGAGGACGACCAGCCACACUGGGACUGAGACACGGCCCAGACUCCUACGGGAGGCAGCAGUGGGGAAUUUUGGACAAUGGGGGAAACCCUGAUCCAGCCAUGCCGCGUGAGUGAAGAAGGCCUUCGGGUUGUAAAGCUCUUUCAGCCGGAACGAAACGGUUACGAUUAAUACUCGUAAUUAAUGACGGUACCGGCAGAAGAAGCACCGGCUAACUACGUGCCAGCAGCCGCGGUAAUACGUAGGGUGCGAGCGUUAAUCGGAAUUACUGGGCGUAAAGGGUCCGCAGGUUGUUUUGUAAGUCAGAUGUGAAAGCCCCGGGCUUAACCUGGGAACUGCGUCUGAAACUACAAGGCUAGAGUAUGGCAGAGGGGGGUGGAAUUCCGCGUGUAGCAGUGAAAUGCGUAGAUAUGUGGAGGAACACCGAUGGCGAAGGCAGCCCCCUGGGUCAAUACUGACGCUGAGGGACGAAAGCAUGGGGAGCAAACAGGAUUAGAUACCCUGGUAGUCCAUGCCCUAAACGAUGUCAACUAGUUGUCGGGCCUUUACGGGCUUGGUAACGUAGCUAACGCGUGAAGUUGACCGCCUGGGGAGUACGAUCGCAAGAUUAAAACUCAAAUGAGUUGACGGGGACCCGCACAAGCGGUGGAUUAUGUGGAUUAAUUCGAUGCAACGCGAAAAACCUUACCUACCCUUGACAUGUAUCGAAGCCCGCAGAAAAGCGGGGGUGCCCGAAAGGGAACGAUAACACAGGUGCUGCAUGGCUGUCGUCAGCUCGUGUCGUGAGAUGUUGGGUUAAGUCCCGCAACGAGCGCAACCCUUGUCAUUAAUUGCCAUCAUUUAGUUGGGCACUUUAAUGAGACUGCCGGUGACAAACCGGAGGAAGGUGGGGAUGACGUCAAGUCCUCAUGGCCCUUA